rnacentral:rRNA from 1 species
AACGAACGCUGGCGGCAGGCUUAACACAUGCAAGUCGAACGCAUCCUUCGGGGUGAGUGGCAGACGGGUGAGUAACGCGUGGGAACGUGCCCUUCAGUUCGGGAUAACCCAGGGAAACUUGGGCUAAUACCGGAUACGUGCGAGAGCAGAAAGAUUUAUCGCUGAAGGAUCGGCCCGCGUCUGAUUAACUAGUUGGUGGGGUAAUGGCCCACCAAGGCGACGAUCAGUAGCUGGUCUGAGAGGAUGAUGAGCCACAUUGGGACUGAGACACGGCCCAAACUCCUACGGGAGGCAGCAGUGGGGAAUAUUGGACAAUGGGCGCAAGCCUGAUCCAGCCAUGCCGCGUGAGUGAUGAAGGUCUUCGGAUUGUAAACCUCUUUCAGUAGGGACGAAGCGAAAGUGACGGUACCUAAAGAAGAAGCACCGGCUAACUACGUGCCAGCAGCCGCGGUAA